rnacentral:rRNA from 1 species
AGCGAACGCUGGCGGCAGGCUUAACACAUGCAAGUCGAGCGGGCACUUCGGUGUCAGCGGCAGACGGGUGAGUAACACGUGGGAACGUACCCUUUGGUUCGGAAUAACGCUGGGAAACUAGCGCUAAUACCGGAUACGCCCUUUUGGGGAAAGGCUUGCUGCCGAAGGAUCGGCCCGCGUCUGAUUAGCUAGUUGGUGGGGUAAUGGCCUACCAAGGCGACGAUCAGUAGCUGGUCUGAGAGGAUGAUCAGCCACACUGGGACUGAGACACGGCCCAGACUCCUACGGGAAGCAGCAGUGGGGAAUAUUGGACAAUGGGCGCAAGCCUGAUCCAGCCAUGCCGCGUGAGUGAUGAAGGCCUUAGGGUUGUAAAGCUCUUUUGGCCGGGACGAUAAUGACGGUACCGGAAGAAUAAGCCCCGGCUAACUUCGUG